AGACCCGAAACCCGGUGAUCUAGCCAUGGGCAGGUUGAAGGUUGGGUAACACUAACUGGAGGACCGAACCGACUAAUGUUGAAAAAUUAGCGGAUGACCUGUGGCUGGGGGUGAAAGGCCAAUCAAACCGGGAGAUAGCUGGUUCUCCCCGAAAGCUAUUUAGGUAGCGCCUCGUGAACUCAUCUCCGGGGGUAGAGCACUGUUUCGGCUAGGGGGCCAUCCCGGCUUACCAACCCGAUGCAAACUGCGAAUACCGGAGAAUGUUAUCACGGGAGACACACGGCGGGUGCUAACGUCCGUCGUGAAGAGGGAAACAACCCAGACCGCCAGCUAAGGUCCCAAAGUCAUGGUUAAGUGGGAAACGAUGUGGGAAGGCCCAGACAGCCAGGAUGUUGGCUUAGAAGCAGCCAUCAUUUAAAGAAAGCGUAAUAGCUCACUGGUCGAGUCGGCCUGCGCGGAAGAUGUAACGGGGCUAAACCAUGCA
rnacentral:rRNA from 2 species